rnacentral:rRNA from 1 species
CAGCCGCCGCGGUAAGACAGAGGAUGCAAGCGUUAAUCGGAAUAACUGGGCGUAAAGGGCACGCAGGCGGUGACUUAAGUGAGGUGUGAAAGCCCCGGGCUUAACCUGGGAAUUGCAUUUCAUACUGGGUCGCUAGGGUACUUUAGGGAGGGGUAGAAUUCCACGUGUAGCGGUGAAAUGCGUAGAGAUGUGGAGGAACACCGAAGGCGAAGGCAGCCCCUUGGGAAUGUACUGACGCUCAUGUGCGAAAGCGUGGGGAGCAAACAGGAUUAGAUACCCCUGUAGUCCAUGUCUCUUAUAC